CCUUAUUGCUUUCUACAACCCCCUGAAGGGAGGUUCUGGUGAAGUGAGUGGUCAGCUUCUUCUCCCAGCUAACAGCUAUAAGAUGAGAGGAAAUGACCUCAAGUUGCACCAGGGAGGUACAGGUUACUAGGAAAUCAGGAAAUAUUUCUCUGAAGGAGUGGUCAGGCACUGGAAUGGGCUGCCCAGGGAGGUGAUUGAGUCACCAGCCCUGGAGGUGCUCAAGAAACGUUCAGAUAUUGCACUGAGGGACACAAUUUAGUGGAGAAAUAUUGGUGGUAGGUGGAUGGUUGGACUGGGUGAUCUUGAAGAUCUUUUCCAACCUUGGUGAUUCUAUGAUUCUAUGAUCCUCCAUGACGACAGUGGUGUGGGGCUACUUCCAAGGUGACACUGGGUUGGAAGUCCUCCAAGCUGACACUGAGCAGUUUAUGAUCUCCAAGGCUCAGGAACCACUCAAGGCUUGGCAGAAACGUGAGUUACUCCACCAAAAGGAGAGCCCUGAAUUUGAUCCAUCAACUACAGCCAAGAACCCUUCCUUCAGAUCUGAUAAAGUCGUCAUUUUGAUGAAAAGAAGUGGAAAGAGGGGUGGAGAUCUCACCCUGAGAACAGAAUCACCAGCUUUCUAACACGAGGUUGAAACCACAGAUAACUCAGAAUUUGUUAAUGACUGCUUAUAAGGGAAAUGACUGUAGCAUUCACUUGUAGCAUUCAACUCCUUGUUUUGUUCUUUCUUUCUUUUAUUUUUUUCCUGGGAGUUGUCAUGUUCACCUGCAUUGCUAUACGGGAGCAAGAAGAAAUGAUUCAGAAGUUAAACACUGCUGUGAAGAGACCAUCAGCCUCACCAGCAUGUGCAAGCUCACAACUCCAGUGAGAUAUCCAGCCUCCCCAGCUGCUGAAUACAGGGAGAGCCUGCAAUAGAGCAGAGCAGCAGGGCAAACUACACAGAUGGCAGAGAGACUACUGAUCUCCCAACGUUCCUUCCAGUAUGGAUGCCUAGGACCUUCUCACUCUGCUCCUUCCAGGGGAUGUUCCGGCAGUGAAGAGAUGCUCUGGACCCUCACUCUGCUGGAUUUAUUACCCAAGAGUACCAUGGUAUCCUGCUCUGUUGAGAACCCAAAUCUCUCAGCCCAAAUUUGGGAUGAACAGGGGAAGAAUCAAAGGCCAGGACAUGGCAAACGGAGGGCAACACAAUGACUGCGAGCCGUGACCCCAGAGGAAGCUCAUGGGGUUGAACCACGGCAGGAGGAAGCACUGUAAACCAUGGAGAAUGAAGAUGUCAAGGGCAGGAAAAGAGGGAGACUCAGCAGAGAGAUGAAGGGUUCUCAUCAGGUAUUCACAGAGAAUAGCAAAGGAAAUCAGCAUCCUGGGAAAUGGCUUCCAUCCAUCAGCCAGCUGCCAAGGAGAGCACUGCAGAACCAGGACUACCCUUUGGGUAAAGCAAAUAUUUUUAUUUGGGGUCCAUGGUAGCCAUGAGCUGCAUUUCAAUGGAAUCUACUGGCCCAACCUUAAAAAUGAACUUGUAAAAUACAGAGCAAAGUAGCUGGUUACGGCUUAAAGAGCGAGAAAGUCUUCCACCUUCCUACUAAAUCACUCCACGGAUUCAUGGGUUCCUCAUCCUUUCAGCCUGUAGUCCCCAGCUACCAGAAUCUCAAGUGUUUUUUGGAAAGGUGCUGGAGAUGUGUUUACAUCUUUCUGCAAUAGACUCUGAUGACAAAUGUCCCUCUUAUUUUUUUUUUUUUUUUUUAAUGAAUUAUUUGGUGUUGAAAGCUUGGCCUUUUUGGCUGCUUUACCAUCAACAGGAAGUCUAUGGCAAUAGCUCACGAGAGUCAGUCCUUGGGAAGAUGCCUUCCACCAGACACUUCGAGGUUUUAAUCAUUUUUGGUGUUCCUCAUUAUUUCAGUUAAUAAAUCCAGGGUGGUUACAGCGAUGAUUCAUGCAGGAUGCAUCCUGUUUCUUCUCUCCCACAUCUUGCUGGCAAAAAGCUGCUAUGGAUUAGGAGCCUUGCCCUUCAUUUUUGGAAAUUUCUCUCCCACUGUAGACUUGAAAUGAGAACUGCUGUGGUAUUUCACUGUGUGCUAUUUCAGAGUGCCGGCUUUUUUUGACGCAGUCAUCAUCUAUAUGGAAAAGAGGUGUAUACACGAAUCAGUAGUAUAGUUCAGCUGCAUCUGCAUUAGAAAGGCAUAAAAAUGAGUGAAACUCAUUUCUAUAAACAUAGCUGCGGUAGUUGAAAUGUGCUCUUCUAGGAUGCGAUGCCAAGUCGGCAGCUCAGAUAUACACCAAGACACUUUUCAGACAGGAAGUGCAGAAUAAACAGGGUCCUACAGUUUCACACCACAGCUUCCACAUUUCUAUUUGUACCUCUGGUGACUGGAACGCGUCAAGGUUUGGGGGAGUUUCCUCAGAGUUGGCUGAUAUGUCUUUCAUCUGCACUUUUAUUUCUUGCCUCUAGUUCUAGAGAAUUCAGACGUCUUUCAGCCUGGACCCUGGACAAAGGCUUCUUUCCUCCAUAAAAGGCAGCAGAACAAUCUGUCCUUUAUUAUCUUCAGACCAAAAUGUUGGUCCAUGAGACUUUAGGUUGUCUUUAGGAGUUCUCUGCAGAUGUAGGACCAGUUUUCUGCUCUUGCUCUGUUCAGUCACUGGUUGGGAUAAUAGAGCCACCCAACCCAAUACCUCUUCUGCUGUUCUAUUUGAUCAAUGAACAAACAGAGCAAUAAAAAGCCCAAAUCCUCAAGGAACAGGUGGUCUUAGCUGGGAGAUAUUUUUCCUUGUUCUUCAGUAACUGAGGAAAAAAAUCACAUAUCCUCCCCUUCGCACAGCUGAAUCCCAUCACCUGUUGCACCUCAGAUGCCAGAAGCCGACAUGUGAGCAGCCUACAUCUCACCGAGAGAGGGGAACGUAAGAGCCAAAGCAGGCUCUGGUGGUGGGCUUCUGCUUCUGGGCUGCUCCUGGGACUCUGCUUAUGAAAGGGGAGAGCAGUAGGAACUACUGGAGCACGACUUCAAUUUGAUUUUUGAAGUAGGUCAGACAAAUCUAACAUCUUCUUACCGGUGGUUCUAAAGAGAGCCUGGGGUGCAGCUGUAGGUAUCUAUUGUGUAAAGGUUAGGUAAGAUGGAUCUCACCCUUUUAUUGCAGAGAUCUGAAUAUAUUCUUUACCUCCCUGUGUGGACUUGGUAAAGGGAACAAGACCAAAGCAUAUUCCAUUAGGCUUAAUCAGUAUUGUCUCCAUCUCCUACUCAACCAGCAACUACUGGAGAUGGCAGAAACUUGAUUUGGCUUAUCACCUUCCAAACUAUGCUUUAAUGGCUGAGAUCUUCCUGGAGUUUUCAGGUUAUGAGUCAACAGGAACAUCCUCACUCCAGUUUUCAAAGUAGGAGGCAUGUAUGUCUGCUCAUUGUCAAGAGCACAGAAGAUAGUAGGUAGAAGAGGAAAUGAGCAGCCAGACCUACUCAUGAUUAACAGCUCUGCAGUGCUGGGGGCAUGCUCAAGCAAGCUUAUCUCCCCCUAAAACUGGCAGGCUGAGUAAAAGCACUUGGUAGAAUAGUGACCCCAGGGAGGAUGAGAUACCUUCUGCAUAAUUAUCUCCAGUCAGGGUUUGGCUCUGCUACCAUAGAUGCUAAUCUUUCACACCCACAGUCAAAUGGCCACAUAACAGCCCUUGUGGUGAUAUGAGUGAAUGGAAGGUAAGGGAAUGCCGUGUUCUUGUUUUGCAUGGUUCAGGAUCAGAUGCAUCAAGCACUGGUAGCUCGUAUUGCAGCACAUAGAGCUGUGCCUCAUCGCAAGGCUAUAUCCUGUUGGCAGCACAGCACUCACAGCCUCCCAGCUGAAACUCAUAUCGAGCAAUCUCUGCCCUGAGGAUGUUGUAACUAUUGAAGGUGAAUGAAAUAAAAGAAAAAAAAAAUAAAGGAAAAGAAAAGAAAAGAAAAAGCAAUAAAGAUGUGUUGGGAGAGCUCUACGCUUUGAUUCAGCAAAGACUCUGAGAAGAUGUUUCAUUUAAAUGAGCCAUAGCACCCACUCCCAUUAAGAGAUCUUAAGUAUUUUUUAUGGAAAUUAGCUGUGAUGAUAUCUCUUAUUAAAAAAAAAAAAAAAAAAAAGACAAUAAAGUAGGUCCAAUUCCAAAAUUAUGGAAAUAAUUACCAGUAAUUUACAGCCUAAGCAACUGUGGGAGAUAUUAUUGGUUUCUAAAGGAUAUUCAUCAGGUUGUUAAGUACUGGGAUCAAUAACCACCUCGUGGUAAAACCCAAAGUUGUUGUCAGAGGCAACCACAGCAUUUCUUGCAAUUGUUGCUCAUCUCAUAUUUAUGAGAGCGUGGUCACAAAAGCCAACUGCAAUUCAGCCCUGGCCUGACCUGAUGCCGUAUCUAUGGGAGAUGCAUACACAUCGUCUGAACCUUAAAUUUUAUGCAAUGAAAACCCACUCAGGAGAGUGAAUAUCUUUUUUUCCAAAUUGCUGACUUACAGGACUCUUUGACGAUCCUGGUUUUAGCACAGGUUUUGGAUUGAUGACGUUUCAAUGUCAUCAUUGCAACUUUUAUUUCUACAGACUUUUGAGACUGCUGGUUUAGGUGGAGAGACCCCCUUUCAAAUGACCCUUAACAUUGGUCUUCAUGCUCAAGCUCAGAUGGACUUUAGAAUCAUAGAAUCAUUAAGGUUGGAAAAGACCUCUGAGAUCAUCUAGCCCAGCUGUCCACCUACCACUAAUAUUACCCACUAAACCAUGUCCCUCAGUGCCACAUCUCCACAUUUCCUGGGCAGUGACUCCACCACCUCCCUGGGCGGCCUUUUCCAGUGCAUUGCCACUCUUUCCGAGAAGAUAUUUUUCCUAAUAUCCAACCUGAACCACCCCUGGUGCAACUUGAGGCCAUUCCUUCUCAUCCUACUGAAGACAUUAAGCA
ensembl:lncRNA